GGGACAACAGUUGGAAACGACUGCUAAUACCGCAUAAGCCCACGGUACCGCAUGAUACAGAGGGAAAAGGAGCAAUUCGCUUUGGGAUGGCCUCGCGUCUGAUUAGAUAGUUGGUGAGGUAACGGCCCACCAAGUCGACGAUCAGUAGCCGGACUGAGAGGUUGAUCGGCCACAUUGGGACUGAGAUACGGCCCAGACUCCUACGGGAGGCAGCAGUGGGGAAUAUUGCACAAUGGGGGAAACCCUGAUGCAGCGACGCCGCGUGGAGGAAGAAGGUCUUCGGAUUGUAAACUCCUGUCGUUGAGGACGAUAAUGACGGUACUCAACAAGAAAGCCACGGCUAACUACGUGCCAGCAGCCGCGGUAAAACGUAGGUGGCAAGCGUUGUCCGGAAUUACUGGGUGUAAAGGGAGCGCAGGCGGAAGCGCAAGUUGGAUGUGAAACCCAUGGGCUCAACCCAUGGCCUGCAUCCAAAACUGUGUUUCUUGAGUAGUGCAGAGGUAGGCGGAAUUCCCGGUGUAGCGGUGGAAUGCGUAGAUAUCGGGAGGAACACCAGUGGCGAAGGCGGCCUACUGGGCACCAACUGACGCUGAGGCUCGAAAGCAUGGGUAGCAAACAGGAUUAGAUACCCUGGUAGUCCAUGCCGUAA
rnacentral:rRNA from 1 species